rnacentral:tRNA from 1 species
GCAUCGGUGGUUCAGUGGUAGAAUGCUCGCCUCCCAGGCGGGUCGCCCGGGUUAAAUUCCCGGCCGAUGCA